rnacentral:rRNA from 1 species
CGGGGGUUGCGAGCGUUGUCCGGAAUUACUAGGCGUAAAGGGCAGGCAGGCGUAUCCAUAAGUUUAUCGUUUAAGGCGUCGGCUUAACCGGCGUAGGGCGGUAGAUACUGUGGAUCUGGAAUGCGGUUGGGGAAGACAGAAUUCCUGGUGUAGCGGUGGAAUGCGCAGAGAUCAGGAGGAAUACCGAAGGCGAAGGCAGUCUUCCAAGCCGUUAUUGACGCUCAACUGCGAAGGUGUGGGUAUCAAACAGGAUUAGAUACCCUGGUAGUCCCU